GUUUGGCCUGGGCGCAGCCUGUCCGCAAUGCCGCGUGCAGGAAGAAGGCCUUCGGGUUGUAAACUGCUUUUGUCAGGGAAGAAAUCCUCUGGGUUAAUACCUCGGGGGGAUGACGGUACCUGAAGAAUAAGCACCGGCUAACUACGUGCCAGCAGCCGCGGUAAUACGUAGGGUGCGAGCGUUAAUCGGAAUUACUGGGCGUAAAGCGUGCGCAGGCGGCUUUGCAAGACAGAUGUGAAAUCCCCGGGCUCAACCUGGGAACUGCAUUUGUGACUGCAAGGCUAGAGUACGGUAGAGGGGGAUGGAACUCCGCGUGUAGCAGUGAAAUGCGUAGAUAUGCGGAGGAACACCAAUGGCGAAGGCAAUCCCCUGGACCUGUACUGACGCUCAUGCACGAAAG
rnacentral:rRNA from 1 species